GACUCGAUAGCUCAAUAGGUAGAGCGGCGGUCUAGAUACCCGAAUUAGAUGCGAGUUCAAAUCCCGCUCGAGCCA
rnacentral:tRNA from 1 species